UGAUUAAGGUCAGUACUUGCUCGUCCCACACAGUAUCCGCGUAGUGUCCAAUAUCUAGGAAUUGUUGUCUCCCACCGACACCAGCCCCCUUCGCUUUUGUUAAUGGAGGAUCCUCUCGAUGCAAUACCCAUUUGCAUUUGUCCAUUACUUGUUCAAACUACGCUCUUCCGUCCCCACAGUCUCGAUCUCCAGUUUUCCACUUCUGAAGCCUCCCCAAUAAUACGGAUCAUGAAAUAAUUAUAACCAUCAAAUACCUCUUUGAUCCCUCUUUGUUUUUGUUUUAUUAUCAUUUGACAAUGGGUUGGCGAGGUGGUUCUGUCUUGUUUCUUCUUAUUGUUGUUGUUUUAGGCAGUGGCAAAGUGGCACAUGCUAUGGAUCUCAGCAGCAAUUCCCAUGAAAACUACACUCAGUUCCUUCUUGCCAAUGGUGUUGCUCACACGCCGCCCAUGGGAUGGAACAGCUGGAACCAUUUUCAAUGUGAUAUAGACGAGCGGACUGUGAAAAGCACGGCAGACGCUCUUGUUUCUACUGGUUUGGCGGCACUUGGGUACAAAUAUGUAAAUAUUGAUGAUUGCUGGGGAGAAAAAGAUAGAGACUGGAGGGGUAAUUUAAGGGUAAAACCUUCUACUUUUCCUUCUGGAAUCAAGGCCCUUGCAGAUUAUGUUCACGCAAAAGGAUUAAAGCUUGGCAUAUAUUCUGAUGCUGGCUACCAAACUUGCAGCAAGACAAUGCCUGGAUCUCUUGGGCAUGAAGAUCAAGAUGCAAGAACUUUUGCAGAAUGGGGAAUCGAUUACUUGAAGUAUGAUAAUUGCUAUCAUGAUGGUUCUAAGCCAUUAUACAGAUUUGCUAGGAUGAGUAAUGCAUUACAGAAGGUUGGCAGGCCAAUCCUUUAUGCUAUAUGUGAAUGGGGACAAGACAAUCCUGCAAAAUGGGCCAGUCGGUAUGGUAAUGCUUGGCGAACUACGGGAGACAUAAAAGACAUCUGGGAAAGUAUCACAUCAAUUGCAGAUGAAAACAACAUUUGGGGAAGAUAUGCAGGACCCGGCAGGUGGAAUGAUCCUGACAUGUUGGAAGUGGGAAAUGGAGGGAUGAGUAUUGAGGAGUAUCGAUCUCAUUUUAGUAUUUGGGCUGCAAUGAAAGCUCCUUUACUCAUUGGAUGUGAUAUCCGAUCUGCAACCGCAGAGACUCUUGGGAUUCUUGGAAACAAGGAGGUGAUUGGUGUUAAUCAGGAUCCACUGGGAAUUCAGGCCAGAAAAAUUCGAUCUGAAGCUGGUCUAGAGGUAUAUCCGGAAGGUUUGGGCAGGACCUUUAUCAAGGAGAAGAAUAGUGAUAGUCUUAUGGAAUAGAAGCAGAUUCAGGGCUCCAAUAUCUGUGGGAUGGAGGGACGUUGGACUCUCUCCAUUUAUGUCUGUGACUGUUCGAGACUUAUGGGCGCACUCAUUUGUUUCAAAGAAGAUGCGUUCUCGAUUGACUGCAUAUGUUGCUCCCCAUGCUUGCAAGAUGUACAUUCUCACCCCAAUCUAAAUGGAUGAGAGGCUUGGCACUUUGGUCUAUAUAUAAUAGUCGAGUGAGAGAUGGUGUCCCACUCAGAAGGCAGCUUGAUGAAAUGAAGAUAUUUAAUUAUAUGUAUUUAUGAUAUGCUAAACUGAAAGGACUUUUUGCCACAAGGAUACAGUAUGCUUAUUUACUUGCUA